rnacentral:rRNA from 1 species
GAUGAACGCUGGCGGCGUGCCUAAUACAUGCAAGUCGAGCGAACGGACGAGAAGCUUGCUUCUCUGAUGUUAGCGGCGGACGGGUGAGUAACACGUGGAUAACCUACCUAUAAGACUGGGAUAACUUCGGGAAACCGGAGCUAAUACCGGAUGAUAUUUUGAACCGCAUGGUUCAAAAGUGAAAGACGGUCUUGCUGUCACUUAUAGAUGUAUCCGCGCUGCAUUAGCUAGUUGGUAAGGUAACGGCUUACCAAGGAAACGAUGCAUAGCCGACCUGAGAGGGUGAUCGGCAACACUGGAACUGAGACACGGUCCAGACUCCUACGGGAGGCAGCAGUAGGGAAUCUUCCGCAAUGGGCGAAAGCCUGAAGGAGCAACGCCGCGUGAGUGAUGAAGGUCUUCGGAUCGUAAAACUCUGUUAUUAGGGAAGAACAUAUGUGUAAGUAACUGUGCACAUCUUGACGGUACCUAAUCAGAAAGCCACGGCUAACUACGUG